AACGAACGUUGGCGGCGUGGAUUAGGCAUGCAAGUCGAGCGAGGACAGGGGGCAACUCCUGAGCCGAGCGGCGAAAGGGGCAGUAAGGCGUGGAUAACCUACCCCGGGGACGGGGAUAGCCAUUCUAACGGAUGGGUAAUACCCGGCGAGAUAGCGGAGGCGCAUGUCUUUGCUAUGAAAUGAGUUUCGCCUUGGGAGGGGUUCACGUGGUAUUAGCUAGUUGGUAGGUAACGGCCUACCAAGGCAAAGAUGCCUAGCAGGUGUGAGAGCAUGACCUGCGCCACUGGCACUGAGACACUGGCCAGACUCCUACGGGAGGCUGCAGUCGAGGAUCUUCGGCAAUGGGCGCAAGCCUGACCGAGCGACGCCGCGUGUGCGAUGAAGGCC
rnacentral:rRNA from 1 species